GUGGGUGUCAGUGAAGUGGGAAGCAGUGAUUGGCUCCUUUGGGCUGGAGUUCUUGGAGUAAGUGCUGAUAGUUUUGGGAAGAUUUAUCUGGAAGUGUAGCCCAGGGUCAUACUGCAGAGGCGAUGAGUUUCAGAGAAACACAAUUCUCCUCUUCUAUUUCCUGUAGGAUCCCAGGGUACGGCUGCAAAAGGAGUCUGAGAAGAUGACUUACUGAAAUCAAGAGCUUGGAUGCCCUUCUCCUUCUGCCCUUGGAUGUCAGAAUUCCAGUUCCUCUGGCUUUUGGACUGUAGGACUCACACCAGCAUUCCCUGUCCCUACCACCUCCACCACCCACCAGCUUUCAGGCCUUUGGCCUGAGACUGAGAGUUACACCAUCGGCUUCCUUGGUUCUGAGGCCUUCAUAUCCGGACUGAACCAUGCAACUGCCUUUCCUGGUUCUCCAGCUUGCAGUCGGCCUGUUGUGACACCUCUCAGCCUUCCUUACAAACCAUGUAGGACAUGUCUGCUUCCUCUUCACCUUCUGCCAUGAUUGUAAGUUUCCUGAGGCCCCCCAGCCAUGCUUCCGGUACAGCCUGUGUAACUGAGGCUAGAAAUCAAAAUUUGGCUCUACAGGCCCAUGAUAUUCCCUCUCUGAUCUACUUCUCUGGACAUCUGGGUUUCCUGUGGAUUGCGUUCAAUCAGCAAUGUUGAGAACAUUCUGGAUAAAAGGUAUGGGAGAGUAUGUGACCCAGUGUACUUUCAAUUAAGUGGUGAAGUACAAACAAUGAGAGGUGCCUCCAGCAGCUCCCUGGACUCCUUCUCCCCAAGGGGAAAAGGAAACUGAAUAAAGGAAAACAUGGACAACCUCAAAUGCAGAAACAUGACAUAUUUUCUCAUGAGGACAGCGUGGCCCAGGAGAAAGAGGGAACUUCCAGCAUCUAUGAGGAAACAGAAUUUCUUUUGAUCACAGAAGAAAAGAGAAGAAUAUUAACCAUGGAGUGUCCACCAGCAGGGUCUGAAACCAAAGCCCCUCAAGGACAGGAGAUCUACCUCUGGGCUUGGAAUCAAGAGGACCAGUCGUUCCGGGAGGCCUCCCUGCUACCUUUGGGGCCUUUGGCAAGUCCCUGAAAGUUUCCAGGUUUCAGCCACCUAUUUGGGCUCUGGGGAGAGGAAUGCCUACCAUUUGCCUCUGGCUCUGGGAUUUUAAAAGGAAAAGCAGCAGAGUCUUUGGAAAAACCAAUCUCUGAAGACCCAGGGUGAACAUUAGUUACAACACCCUAGCUUCGAGGUGAUGUAAACUUCAGGUACGGAGGUUACGCUCAGAGGAAUAAAGGAGCAUUCGUCAAACAUGAGCUCCCCUCGAUUGUGGUCUAGGGUGGAGACCAGUUAUUCAAGUGUCUGUGGGCCCAGGCAGGUAAUGAAAAUGUAGUUAUGGGGGAACGCCCGGCUCAGAACAGGCGUAGAGUAAAUAGUUGUUGUUGACUGACUGAAGGAAUAAAAGUGGGUCUGAUAUAAGACAAUAGGGAAUGGUACAAACCUUGUCAAACUGGAAGGUACAUGACUUGAAUUUGAUGUUCAAACUAUUGCUUUUUAAAACACUAGUUUAAACAUCUUCUGGCCCUAGAGCUACCAAUUUGUAUCUCUGUAUCCACUUUUAUAUAUUUUAGGCCCAUUUAAAAGACCAGGAAAGGAGGAAAAUAAAUCUAGCAGUAUAGGACGUUCUUAAUCUUGUCAGUUAACCCUAAUUUUAACACCCCAUCUCUGUUUGUCAUUCUACUUAACCACUUUGGAUUAAGCAAAUUCAGUCACUUUGGAAAUAGUACGUGUGGAUGGUACCUUACAGGAUGAAGGACCAUAACAAUAUUCUCUAGCGCAGGCCUCUACCUCCACAGGGGGACAGACUGAUGAGCCAGAUCAACUCCUGCAUCCUCUUCCUCAAGGAAAGCCCCCAUCAAUAAAACCACAAGGUUACAGUGGAGCCAGAGGGAGAGCUGGCCUGAGUUGAGACCUCCUCAUGGAACUCAUGGCUUCAGUUUCCUAAAAUGGGGAUUGUACUCCCCUAGCUCUCCUUGCUUCACAGAGCUGUUUGUGACAACUCAUGAGUAAUGUUAUGUGAAAGGGCUUCACACACUGCAGUGUGCUGAAUAAAUGUAAAGAGUCCAUGCUAUCCAAUUUGGAGACAGAAAUUAGAGGACUCCUCCUCACACUAGUUAAGUACAUCUCUUAAAUUGCUUGGACUGUUGGCGUGGUUCUCGCCAGAGUUGAAUAUAAUUCCUCUGUUGAUGGGUCAGCCUUUAUUUCCCCCAGUGCUGUUUCUUACUUGAGUUAAUGAGUCCAAAGCUCAUGUUUGCAUGCUACCUCUGACCCUCACUAAGUGCUCACCUGCAGCUCUGCCCUGUCCUCAGAAUGAUGUGACCCUCAGGGCCAAACACUCCACAGGCUGCACUCUGCCACCUCCAAAUCCCCACCAGUGGGUCCAAUUCUCAGUCAUCUGCUUGUUGUAUUUCUGUUGUUUCUGUAUUCAUGUCAAGGAUAUUUGGCUGCAGAAUUCCUGCAAUAUAUUUUAGGUGAAUGUGCAGCAUGAUCUUAUUCUGGAGUCCAGGAGACUCCACCUAGGAUUGCUCACAAGUAGGUCAAGUGGAGGGGGUGGCUAAGGCCAGUUUUUCUGCUUGCUAUGCUGGUGCAGGCAGAGGCUUUAGAGUUAUGUUUCCAAUAAAAGGCAUAGAUUUUCACUGCCUGAUGAUCAAAGUCAAACUCCUAAGCCUGGAAUUUGAGGCUCUCAAAAUCUGGCAAUAUCAUUUUUUCCUUCUUCUCUUCUAGUUUCUUCUGUGCACCACAGGCCUCAUGCACCAGGGUGCACCCCCUUCCAUGUACAUAUUCCACAUUUUCACACAUCAAGCAUGCAUAUGUACAAUUUAUACAUACAGUUUCCUCUGAUUCUUUUUUGUCCUUAAAUGUCUGCCUGCUAUCAUCAUGACCAUUUUUAGGGAGAAAUGCUUACCCGUACCUCCUAUUUCCACAGAGAGGAGAGGCAAAGUCGAGAGUUUCACCACUCUCUUUAGGAGGAGAAAAGAUGGAGGAACAUUCCCAGCCCCUGACUCCAUCUUUGACUCGCUCUUCCUAGGAGAAGAGGAGUAACUGGGAUCAGAACCUGAGCAUACCCAGCUCAGCUCCACCAUCCCUCCGUCUUCAGGGCUCCUCCUGCCUGCAGAUCAAGGGCUUCUUGCCUGGCUCCCACUUACUUUCUCCCUGUGGUUGCCGUCUAGAGGCAGUCAUGAAGCCCCGUGCUCAGGGCAAGUCCCUCCACGGGGGCAGGACUGGCAUGAAGGAGUAAUGCCCUCUGUAGUGGGAAGGGUGAGAACGUCUGCCUGGGACUGGCCCUGCCCUCAUAAGGGUUUAUACUGCAAAGGCAGGGGAAAGAGGCCUGUUCUCCAAUCCAGAGUUACCAACUGAUAGUUUGAGUUUCUUCCUUCUGGCCCUAGUGCCCAUACUGAAUUGACUCUGAAUCCUCAGAGGAAGAGAGAAAUUAUUUAUGUCCUAAAACCUCAACAGCUAAAUGUCACAUCUUCAAAGACGUUUCAGACCUUCCUUGUCAGGUGUGAUCAUUCCUUCUCUUUUUCCUCUUCGCGUGUUUCCUGUAGAACUCCAGUUGUGCUUCAUUUGCUCAUUCUUUAGUUCGACACAUAUUUACAGGUGAAGACCUGGGAUUUCCUUGCAUUUAGGAUGUGACGAAAAAUCACAUUUUUUAAGUUGCGUUUUUUUCAGAAAAUCCAAGUCUUCACAUUAGUAUGGUAUAAUUAGAACAGAAUUGGACAGAAGGCUUGGAUUUAGGUCUCAGAUUGAGACCUGCAAGAUACUGAGAGCUUCUGAGAUUACAGGAAUGCUGCUAGGUGCUUUUUGAUACAGAAUCUUGAAAUUGUUGGUUUCCUACAUUAUUUUCUUUUUGGAAUGAAGACCACUAAAACUCUAAGACAAAGUGAACAAAUGAUAGCAAAAAUAACAGUAAGGAAACCAUGAUCAGCUCGGGGUCAUGUCACCAAUAGUUGGCUGGGUCAGGGGUCAGACCCAAGACUCUUGACUCUGAAUCCUCUAUUCAUUCUUUCUGCCUUCUCUCACACUCUCUGUGACUCUUGCAGUCCCUCUGCAGAGAUAAGAGUAACCCAUGAAACAGAUCUGUAGCAACAUAAGGCAAUAAAUGAUAAAUGCCAAAAUAAUUCCUCCUGGCUAUGAGUAAACUAAGGAUUCCAUGAAGGGCGAAUCCCCAUGGCCGUGGAGAUUCAUGGCAGCCUUCCUGGAAAAGGCAGGAUUGAAUUGAACCCUGGCAGGAGAAUUCUUGGGUAGGGAUAGAGGACUGGGAAGAACAUUCUAGGCAGAGGAUCUCAUAGAAACAAAGGAGCACAGGCCAGAUAGAGCAAGAGAAAUCCAGGACACAAUGAAUUUACCAGCCUGGCCUGACCCAAGGUUGGUAUCUGGAUAAGGAUAACAUGGGAGGUAAGGCUAGAAAAGACGAUUAGGUCUUUACUUGAGAGGAUAGUGGUUUUCAAUUUAGGAAGAACCACAGUCUCACCAUUUUGAAAAUGCCUAUACCAGUCCCCAGACCUGCUGAAUCAGACAGGAUUUGGGGGAAUGAGUUGGAACAAUUAUUAUUUUUCAGUCCUCUAUAUGUGAUUCUAAUGCUCAGUGAAGGCCGAAAAUCACCAAGAAAGGAAGAAAGCCCAUCAAGCAUACACAGAGCCCUAUAUUUCCAUCCAGUCGUCCUAGGGUUCCUCUCUGGCUUUCCAUCUGUAACACUGAGUUGGGGCAAACUACUCUCUAUACCCCAUUUUUCUAAUUUUUAAGAUUGAAACAAUAAUAAGACUGCCUACCGCCCUCAAAAGCUCAUCAGGAUGAAAAAGCAAAGUGUUGUAUUUGAAAAUCCCAGACAGAUGUGGCAUAGGUAGCUGUGAGUUGAUUCUUUGACUAGGGAGGUGCUGAAGGCUGCUGAUAAAAGUAUUGGGGCCGGAAGGGCACCCAGAGGGAUGGAUGAAGCACCGAGAGAUUGGAGGGUACUGGGUAGCAGCUAAGGCAAUGAUUCAGGUGUGAGCUGACACAGCCCAGCCAUGGUGAGGCCUUGAGGAUAAGUGUGUGGCCACAGGCCAAAAAGAUUCAGAUUCUCUGUGGGGAACAGCAAGGCACUAUCCACACCUAAAAAUAAAACUGGCCUGUCUCAACCCUGGAUUGGAUACCUCAAAUUGCUGAAGGGCAGCAGGACCAAAUUCUAAUUUUAAGAAAGUCUGCUCUUUGAAUGCAGACUCAGAAACAGCUUUGCUGGGGAAAAAUGUCAAAUGGUUUGCCAGGAUAUUGACAGUGUUCCCAAAGACAGGAAUAGAAGUACUGAAAAAGGGAAUGUCAAGACAGGAGUUCCUGGGGUCUCUAACUCCGGAAUCUUCCAGCAGGAGAAGGAAAGGCAAGGAACCAAAACCCAGCAAGUUAAAAAAUAAUAAUAAUAACAAUAGUAAUAAUAAGACCAAGCUGCAAAUCUACGCUCCUGACACUCCCAUCUUGCUCCCACCUGGGCCCCUGGAGCGAUUCCCUGUGACCCUUAAAGAGCUACCACCCCUUGGGGUGGUGUCAGGGACUCCUGCUCCCCUUCCUCCUCCUCUGGCAGCUACAGGCGCCAUUAUCUCAUGAACUUUCCCCAUAUCCCUUGGAGAUAAGUAUUUCCUUAUGGUAGUGAUUGUUAUUCUCAUUUCACAGCUGGAGAGGUGGAGACAGAAGGAUAGUCCUGAGAAGAGGGAGACAUUUUCUUCCUUUCCUCUGGACUCUGUCAUAUUCAAAUCAUAAAACAGAAAGCACAGGAAAGGUCUCUGAGCAUUGUUAAACUCAAGGUAGCAGGGAUCAGCACUAAGGGAAGGAAAGGUUAUUGUGGGUUUGGUGUGUUGUAAAAUUUAUGUUCAAAUUUUUUGGGGGGAGAUGGUGGAUAGUCAAUUUCUUUUUAUUUUCAUACGCCCAUUAAAAAAAAGGUGGAAUUUCAGAAAUAAUCUAAUGCAAGCUUCAUUUUGCAUGUAAGGAAAUUGAGGCCCAAAGUGAGAACUUGUUAAACAGGCUGUGACGGGGAUGCUGAAGCCCCCUGCUCCUAGUGGCAUUUAGGCCAUGCUGUCUGCCACCCUUCAACCUGCUUCACAUGCUCUGGGGACUGAGACUCCAGGCAAAGGCACAUCCAAGGGUGAUGCUGCCUUGGGUUAUCGUGAGAGUCUGGCUAGAGGCCGGACUUCUCUGCAAAGUUUGAGAAACGUAUUGAAAUUAUCAAGACUUGGAAGGCAGCCGUCAUUUGCACCGAGCUUUCACCGCCUUACCGAGUUCCUAGACUUUAACUAUUCAGGGUUUAGCCAGCCCAUUGUAUUAGUCUCAUCAGAAGCCCUGCAAUCUUAGGCCUGUCCCCUAGGCCCAGGGUGAGGUUUCUGGGAGGUAUGGGAGCAAUCCUGGCCCCACAGACCCCCAACAACUGCCCUAGGGGAGAGAGGAUUGUGGGAAACCUCCCUGGCCCCUGCGCUGGGAGGGCACAGGCUGGGGGAGUUGGAUGCUGCUCUCAGGAUGUCUUUAGGUAGGAAGACGGGCCAUCCACAGAGAACUAUGGCCUACGAGAGCUUCUGUGGAGGUCAGUGCAAGACAGUCCCUUUCUACACAAAUGAUUCAUUGCUGGAAACUUCACAUAAUUACACAUUUGAAUAAUUCAAAGCUAAUUUUCUUACAGGCACAAAUGUAAAGAAGGAUAGAUUUCACUUUUGAGACUUGUAAAUCUGUAAGUACCAUUAGAAAGUGUAACUUUUUUGUUUUUGCUUUUGAACUUACUUUUAUAACAAUAAAUAUAGGAUAUGCCAAUAAGGAUUUUCUGAAAAUUUAGAGAUGUCUGUUUAAUAGAGCUUUUCAUGUUCAAUGAGGUUAUCUGUAGUGUUUUCCUAAAUCAACUGCUCGAGUUAUCCUGGCAGAUAUUUGGUCCUCAUCAUAGUAUUUUAUCACAUCUAAUCCUGUUUCCUAAUGUUUUUAUUCUCAGAAAUGUUUUUCAGCAAAAGCACUAUUUCCACUACUUAAUGCACCCUUGGGUGACAUUGAUAUAAGAUAUAGAAAAAAAUUUAAUUAUAAGAACACUGAGUAGUGACAAAAAUGACCCCCUGCCAACUCCUUUUGGUAAACAACAGAAUGGGCUGGUGACAGAUUUGUGCGUGCUAACAAAGAGACCGUUGCCAUGGGGCAGUAGUGAAAACAAAGCUUAAAAUGAAUUCAGCACUAUUGAUUAUUAUGCAAUUCUCAUUAAUUUUAUGCAUUUUGAAAACUUAAGUAAUUUCCAAUUUUGAGCACUUUACAGACUCUUUUUAAAUUCCUCCAACUUUCUACCAUAUGGUACAAUAUACAAAGUAACAUAGAAGUUGUGGGGAGGAAAUGGAACAAAAAAAGAAAGAUUAGAAUUGGGAUUUAAACUCACAACUUUUACUUCUAGACAAUUUCACAUAGGAUUUACCCAGCGAUGCAUCUCUUAAAGAUGCACCAUCCUGACAUCCUUGGCUCAUUCAUCAUGCCACCUUGCCUCCUGCAGGGAAAGUCACUGCCAAGAAGACAUCACAUUGGGCAUAUUCAUUUUAAUUAGUUCUCCCAAUAAUACCAUGCUACAGAUAUCUCUAUAAUUAGAUGCCCAUCGACUAUUGCGUCAUUUCCCUGAGUCUACAGUCACCCUGGCAUUGUGGCCCCUGGAGUCCUAGGUGCCUUGGCAGUUGCAGACUCCAAUGUUUCUCUGCUCAGUGCCUUAAGAUUUCUCAGCAACUGUCCUCUGCCAGGCUUCCCAGGCCCCUGCACAAAGAAUUAGCCAAUGCAGGCAUCAAAGUGGAGUUCAGAAAAUUGUGCACGCAGCUUAACCUCCUGGCUGCCUCAGCAGCUCUCUGCUGCCUUCAAGACAAUUAAUUUUUUUUUAAUGUUUUUCUUACUGUUCUCAGCUAGAACAGUGGUUUGCUACAGCUACUGCAUCAGAACCAGAAGUGGACGUCAACAUGUUUUUGAGAUUUGUAUUAUAGUUUGGGUCAUUAUUUUUAACAGCUGAAUAUAAUUUAUAUAUAUAGUACAUUGUAUUUAUUUAUAGGUGGACGUUUGAAUGUUUUCCAACUUUUCACUGUUAAAAACAAUGCUGUAAUGAAUAUUCUUGCACAUGUCUUCUUGUACACAUCUUUGAGAAUUCCUCUAAAAUAUACAUCUGGAAGAGGAAUUGCAGACCAUACAGGCUGCUAAUUUUUAAUGUAAUUAUAUAUUGCCAAAUUGCUUUCUAAAGUAGAUGAACCACUUUACAUUUUCACCAGUAGUAUGUGAGUGUUUGUGUUUAUCACUAGCUUUGAUAAUUCUUGGUUGUGAAACCAUUUAAUUUUUGCUAGUCAAUUGGAAAUAAAUUUAUAUCUUCUUUUUCUGAUUACUAAUGGGGCUCUCCAGCUCAUUGCAUUUCGGGAUUCCUUUUCUGGAAAUGCCUGUUCACAUCUCUGGUUGAUUUUCCAUUGGAUAUUUGUCUCUUCCUUAUGAAUGUAUUAUUUAUACAACCUAAAUACCAAUUAACCCUUAGUCUGCUAUAUAUGUGGCAAAUCAAUCCACAAGUAUCCAUUGAGAGCCUUCUGCAUGCAGUUCUAGGGGCAUAAGGGUAAAUAAAACAGACUAGGUCUGAUUUCCGUGAGGCUUAUGUUCCAGUGCAAGAAGACCGAGCAUCAUCAGUUUAACACAAAAUUAGUAAAAUGACAUCAAAUCAGAAGAAAUGCUAUAAAAAUAAAACAAAAAAAUAAAAUAGAGAGGGAUGGGUAUGUCAGAUGUUUUAGGUUGGAGAGGUUACAGAAAAACCUGAAGCAGAAGCUUGAAUGAGAAGAGAGAGCCCCAUGAAAAUAAGGGGAUAAUGCUUCCCCACAUGGAUGAAAGUCCAAGACCCUGAGGUGGCACCAGCUAGGCACUCAGUGUUUUUUUUUUUUUUUUUCUAUGUCUCCAUCCUCCAAAGGCCAAGAUUUUCUCUAAUGAGUGCUUUACUCUGUGCUCCAGCAGGGCCACAAUUAUUGCUAUCUGAAUCUGAGUUGUGGCAGGCAAGAUGUACAGAUUAUUCUCUGGCACAAUAAAUUGGGUUUAACUCAAGCCCCCCCAGCAGUGGUAAUAGCUGAAGAAGAAAGCCUUUCUUCCACACAGCACAGUUCAUGCUAUUUGGAGGGCAUCCUGAUGAAAGGCAUUGGCACUCUGGAUUCAGGUUACCCACAUUCAUAUCCUCCUUCCAGUUUAUUAGCUAUGAGACCCUAAAGCAAGUUCUCCAAACUCUCUGAGCUUCCAUUUCUUCUUGUGUAAAAUGGAGAUCAUAUUUAUGGUAGAAAGGCCUCUAAGGUGUCCCCCCAAAGAUCCCAGCCUCUUGGUAUUCAUACUCUUGUGCAAUUCCCUUCAUGGAGUGGACCUAGUAACUUCCUUGUAAUUAAUGAGAAUAUCACAUAAGUGACAGGAUGUCACUUGUGAGAUAAGGUUUUAAAAGACUCUGAAAUCAAUUUAAAUCCAUCUUGCUGUCUCCCUUCCUUGCUCUUUAUGUGGAAGCAAGCUGCCAUAUUGAGAGGUCUAUAUGGCAAGAAACAAGGAUAUCCUCUGCCCAACAGCCAGCAAGGAACUAAGACCUACCAAUAGCCACUGAGUGUGCUUGGAAAUGAACCCUACCCUAGUUGAAAUGAGGUGACUGUGAGCUGGCUGAUAUCUUGAUUGCAGCUGUGUGAGAGACCUGGAGCUGAAGGAAUCAGGCAAGACAUACCUGGAUUCCUGACCCACAGAAACUUUGAGAUAAUAGAUGUGUGUUAUUUUAAGUCACUAAAAUUUGUGGUAAUUCAUUAUAUAGCAGUAAAUAAUUAAUACAAUAAUAGGACCUUAUCAUGUCAUUCCUGUGAAUCUGAAAUUACAGAUGAUUCCUGACUUAACAGUAAUUCCACUUACUUUUUUUUUUUUUUUUUUUUUUUUUUUACUUUACUGUGGUGCGAAAGUGAUACACAUUGAUGGAGUUAUGUCCUGACAAAACCAUUGUACAGCGAAAAUAUUUGGUGGAAAAUAAGCAUUUUUGACUUAGGAUGUUUUCAAUUUAUGAUGGUUUUAUCCGAGUAUAACCCCAUUGUAAAUGAAGGAGAACCUGCAACUAACACAAGUGUUAAGGGCACAUGGUAAGGGCUCAUAAAUGUUAGGGGCUGUUCUCCUACUCAUUGCCGAAGAGUUGGGCAGUGGGUGUUUUUACCAAAAUUAAGGCUGACAACAAGUCCUGCCUCCUGCAAACCCCCACUGAAGCCCAUUGGAUCACAGGUCUGACCAAAGCAUUCUUGCAGUUUUAAAUCUCAGGAGUGGCUCCUUCAGAUGGGCUAUCUUGAAAGCACCAGAGUAGUCUCGUCCCUUAGUCCUAAAAAACCAAAGGAUAGAGAUGGCCUCGGAUUUUAGUACCUUCCUGCUGUUCUCUUCUAUUUUCCCAGUACUCCAGCUGCUCUCGGUUCUGAUUUUCUCCAGGAAGGCUUUUCAUACGGACCCCAGUGAGUUCUCCUUCCUCUGAAAACCUUAGCUAUUUUCAUUAUGGUUAUGGUUUUGUAUUUCUUUCCACCCUUGUGCAACACCAGCUACCUGAAGGGGAUUUUACAUGUGCUUGUCUGACAUCGACUCCCUUGGAGGUCUCUUUGGUACCGACGUUCACUUUCACUCUACUGCCUUCUGCCCAUCUGCUAUUCAAUUCUUCCCACCCUUGCCCCUGAACUACAUGGCAGUGGGUAAGCGUAUCCUAAAUGUUGGCAGUGCAGUGGCAGUAGAUGGCAAGGAUGUUUCAGGUGGUUCUUACAGGUCUCAGGUAACAUAUGAAACCCGUUUCAUUAGUAAAACCAAAACAAGGGGUCCUGUUGCAUGCUCCCCCAUAGGAAAUACUUUACAGCUUAGGGGAUCCAGGCUAUAAAUAACUGUGCCAAGUCUGUGAAGCAUAUUUUUUUUGUCAGUUUAUCCAGAUCAGAAGCUUCUGAAAGUCCAAAGCCCUUGAGAUUAUUUGCUUUGUAACGAUAAGAAUGUGCAAGGUACUUCCACAUUUAUGAUGUCAUACAGACUCCAAAAUAAUGCUGGAAGAUAGUCAGGAAUCAUUAACUCCAUUUCAUAAAUGACUCAGAAGAGGGAGUAACUUGCCCAGGUUUAUAAAGGACUGGGGUGGGCUUUAUAAGGACAGGGGUGGGCUUGAGUUCAGAUCUUUUGCAUCUAAAUGAAUAUUGACAUGGUGAAUAUUCAGAGUUCUUACUCCGUGCUAAGCCCCACAUUGAGUGUUUAUACAUGUUAUCCCAUAUAUAGUCAUAUUGCACACUGACGAGUUAAGUUUAGAGAGAUUAAGUCACUUGGCCUGGUGACCCACAGCUAGUGAAGGAAGAAUUGAGACUGGAACCCAGGUCUCUGGCUCUAGAGCCUUUGCUUUUACGCACACACCAAGUAUCUCCCAACUCCAGAGGUCCUGAGCUUCCCUCACAGGGUGCUGGUGAUGCAGUGUCAGAAGAGAGGAAGAUACCCUGCUCAGCCCCACUCAGCCAAGGUAACGCUAAUGGUCAGUCAGUCCUCAGAGAGCUGGGAUGCCCUUCUUCUCCCUGCUUACCUCUGCCUGGCCCACCUCUCCUCCCUCAGAUCCAGGCCUCUGCAGAGGGCCGGCCCAAUUCUGGGAGCAUCCUGCCUGCUAAGGUUAGAGAGCUAGGCCUGAAGAAAAGGGAUACAUUUUUAGCAAUAAUAAUUAUGCAAACCUGGACGUAGAAAUAUAAUCCAGAAGGAGGCUUCAUUUGCCCACAAAAGAGCUCUACAUUGAAGGAGAGGCUUGGAGAAUCUUUGCAUGUACAGUUUAUAUAAGCAAGCUUCAUAAUUAUAUCUUUUUCAAUGAAAUUAAUUUAAAAAUAUCACUUGGGUAUAAAAGAGACUGGGAAAAAAAAUCUGUAUAAAAAGCAAAUGGGGUUCUUAAACAAGCCCAUAAAAUCUCUUCAUUGACACAGAGAUGGGGGUCGGCAAGGAGACUUUUCGAAAGAUUCUCUAGGUAUGAAAUACUGGUUAGGAAAUGCCCUCUACCUGGUUGGAGGUAGGAAGAUGGGGGUUAUCAGGACACAGGCCUUGCUAAGUCCUCAGGGUCUCGCUGUCUAAAAGUUUCCACACUCAAGGGCUCCAGGCCCUCCCUGUACACCACAGGAUAAGUGCUGAGAUUCUGGAGUCAGAGAAAGCCAGGGCUGGAUUUAAGCUGUGUGCUUUCUUCUCCUACUGAAAAUACGGAGAAGUCCAUUCUCACCCCUGCAGUCAGAGUGAUCCUUCUGAAUCAGAUCAAAGUACUGAUCUGCUCAAAAUCCUGCGAUGGCUCCCCACUUCCCUUAAUGGCAGCCUACGUCCUUGGAAGCACUGGCCUGAGGUCCUUUUAAGUUCUUAGUAGAAACCCAAGCCACCUAAGGUGAAAACUGUUAAGCUCCAAUCACCCUGACUCAUAUGCUAACCUUGUUCACUUUUCUCUAGCCACAUUGUCCUCCUGGCUACUUGUCCUCCAACAAUGCCAGACGCAGCUCCUACUUGAUGGCCCUUGUAUUGCUUCUUCCUUGGCCUAACCAAUGGGUUCACCUCCUUUAUGUCUCUGCCUACAUAUAAACUUCUUAAUGAGACUCACCCUGUGAAAUUAUUACUAUCUCUGUCUGCACCCCUUUUCCUUCCCUGAUUUUUUUCCCUGAUCACCUUCUUGGUAUACAAUUAAUUGAUUUGUAAAUUUUAUUUUUUUUGGAUGCCACUUUCCCCUCUAGUUCAAUCUACAUAAAACUAGAAGUGUUUGUUUGUUUCAGUCAUUAAUAGAUUCCAAGGACCUAGCAUGGUGCUUAACAUAUAGUACGUGCUUAAUAACUUAUGGCUGAAUUAAUGAAUGAAUGUUUAAUGCUCACAAGCCACUUCUUCUCCAAGCCUCCGUUUUCUCUUCUCUAAAUGGCAGUAAAAAUAAUACUGCAAUGAACGGCUGCUGCUUUUGUCUACCUGGUAUUCCUUCUACAUUUGAUAAGAGAGCUCCUCUUUCCUAAACCCAUUUCAUGUGGUUCUGAUAGCAGCAAUCACAGAGUUGCUAUGGUCACCCCGGCUGCCCUGGCAAUCAGGGAACACCACCAUUUCCCUGGUCAUGGUGGUGCACAAAAAGGCAUGCGUUUCAAGCAGGGCCAAUCCAUGAGACUAGGUCAAUGCUCUCUGGAUGAAGGGCCAUUUGGAGGAGCCUGUGCUGGCAGGGCCAUGUGGGCUGUGGCUGUCAGCAGUGAUUUUACAAACUCUUGAAGGCAGCUUGCUCGGGAUGUAGCCAAGCAGCAUCAGGCAAAGCAGAGAGUUGCCUCGAGAAAGAACAGAGCUCGUGCUCUUUUUGAAAAUAGGGUCUAGCUGGAAGAGAGCUGAGGCAAACAGACCCUGGGAAUGGACAGGACUAAUAUGGAGCGACAAACUGCGGAGCCAAAAGCAGAAAUUCCUCUGCCUAGGAUGGCAUCCUUCAAUUUUUGCUUGGCAAAUUCCUGCUCAUCCUUCAGAACCUCAUUUGAGGACUUCUUGCUCCCCUAGAUCUCAUGGGCUGAAUUGAUCACGAUUCCCUUUGUGCCCCAUUGUACCAGGUUUCAACUGUAUCAAAUUCAUCACUACAAAUUGUAGUCAUCCAUUGUGUUCAUUUGCUAGAAAUGCCAUAACAAAAUAGCACAGUCUGGGGGGCUUAAUAGAAAUGUAUUUUCUCAUGGUUCCAGAGGCUGGAAGUCCAAGAUCAAGGUGUCGACAGUGACGGUUCCUUCCGAGGCUUCUCUCCACGGCUUCACCCUGUCUUCACUUGGCCUUUCCUCUUUGUGUGCAUCCCUGGUAUCUCUGUGUGUGUCUAAAUGUCCUUUUCUUAGAAAGACAUGAGUCAGAUUACAUGAGGGCCCACCCUAAUGGCUUCAUUUUAACUUAUUUACCUCUUUAAAGGCUUUAUUUCCAAAUGCAGUCACAUUCUAAGGUGAGGGUUAGGGAUUCAACAUAUGAAUUUAGAGGGACAAAAUUCAUCCCACAAAAUCUACUUUCCUACUUCCUCCACCAAGUUACUUGAGGUCAGAUGGAAGCUGCUUAAUAAAUGUUUGAUUAAGAAAGGAUUAACAAGAUGAGUGAAUGAAGAGAAAUCAUUGUGCUGCCUCAGGCCUAGAUAGAUCCUUCCUUUGGCACCAGUGGUCACUUUCUAGUCUCUCCUCAGACUGGUCUGGGAAAAUUAAGUCUUCCAGAGAAGGCUGAGGUUAUUGGAGUUUCUUCUGCCCUGUUUCAGGGUGGGCCAGGUGCCAAGGGGAUGCCUACGUGCCAAAGGCCAAGAAUCAGUUUUGUUAUUUUAAUCCCAUUUAAAAUCUUUCUAGCCUCUACUCUCUUACUGACUUCCCACAUCUGGUAAAUUUCCUGAGCUGUCAAUUCUUCUCCUAGAGUAGCUAUCACUUCUCUCAAUUUUUGUGAGGCUGGCAGAAACCCUGACUAGCUCUUUCUUAGAUCAGAGUACCAAUCUCCUAACUAGCUGGUCUGUCACCACCGUCCCCACUUUAAUAUACCCUAUCCUUGUGAUUGUAAUCUAUCUGAAAUCAGUGCCAACUGUGCCAUUCAUAUGCUAAGAAAGCUCUGAUCUGCCCUACUGUCUAAAAGUCUAGGUCCCCUUUACAUUCCUCCACAUGCCCUUCAGACCUUUUGCGAUAUUGAUUUCAUCCAUCUCUCCAGGGUCCUCUGUCGUCUUCAGUCUCCUGCCACACCAAGGCCACGUCUCUGUGCCUCCUCAUAUGUUUUUCUACAGCCUGCAACACAUCUCUUCCCCUUCUCCCACAAGGAUCCCGUGCUUCACAGGCCAACUCAACAUUACAUGCUUAUCCAAAGCUUCCCAAGAACCAAGUUUAGUUAUACUUUGAGCUGUUUACCAUAGACUCUACCAUUUUGCAUUAUAGCUUUUUUGUGCAUGUGUAUGUUUAUCUACAUCUGCUAGACUGUGAGUACUUUGAUGGGGAAAAAAAAUCAGUCAUUUUUUUUUUUUAUUUGAGACAGAGUCUCGCUCUGUU